rnacentral:misc_RNA from 1 species
AUACUAUCCAAAUUCCCUAAUUUAGAGGCAGCAUUGUCUUUUAUGAGGUGCCAGAGCAAGUCUCUGCAGAAAAUAAUCUUAUUUAGCAUUUGCAUCCUCACCGAUUCAUGCUGUACAGUGUAUAGCCUUCAGUCCUCCACACUUCACGCCCUUUUGCGGCUUGUUUUACUUGUUCUGUAUGGUGAAUGAUAGCAUGCAUUUUUGUUGGAAUUUCUUGAUUUGUUCUUGUAGGCUUAUACCCAACUGUGAAUGAAUAAUUUGCUAAGUUGUGGGAAUGCAGCCCAUAUAACUAGGAGUGAGCACCAAAAUGAAUUAAAU